UGCCAGCAGCCGCGGUAAUACGGAGGGUGCAAGCAUUAAUCGGAUUUAUUGGGCGUAAAGGGCGCGUAGGCGGCCAUGUAAGUCAAGUGUGAAAUUCCGGAGCUCAACUCCGGAGCUGCACUUGAAACUGCAUAGCUAGAGGAUAGAUGGAGAAAACGGAAUUCCACGUGUAGCGGUGAAAUGUGUAGAUAUGUGGAAGAACACCGGUGGCGAAGGCGGUUUUCUAGCUUAUUUCUGACGCUGAGGCACGAGAGCGUGGGGAGCAAACAGGAUUAGAUA
rnacentral:rRNA from 1 species